CUACGGGGGGCUCCAGUGGGGAAUAUUGGGCAAUGGGCGAAAGCCUGACCCAGCAACGCCGCGUGAUUGAAGAAGGCUUUCGGGUUGUAAAAAUCUGUCCUUGGGGACGAAGAAGUGACGGUACCCAAGGAGGAAGCCCCGGCUAACUACGUGCCAGCAGCCGCGGUAAUACGUAGGGGGCGAGCGUUGUCCGGAAUUACUGGGCGUAAAGGGUGCGCAGGCGGCGCUUAAGUCAGAUGUGAAAUACCCAGGCUUAACCUGGGGGGUGCAUUUGAAACUGGAGCGCUUGAGUGCAGGAGAGGAAAGUGGAAUUCCUAGUGUAGCGGUGAAAUGCGUAGAUAUUAGGAGGAACACCAGUGGCGAAGGCGACUUUCUGGACUGUAACUGACGCUGAGGCACGAAAGCGUGGGGAGCAAACAGGAUUAGAUACCCGGGUAGUC
rnacentral:rRNA from 1 species